rnacentral:rRNA from 1 species
GACGAACGCUGGCGGCGUGCCUAAUACAUGCAAGUUGAGCGCUGAAGGUUGGUACUUGUACCGACUGGAUGAGCAGCGAACGGGUGAGUAACGCGUGGGGAAUCUGCCUUUGAGCGGGGGACAACAUUUGGAAACGAAUGCUAAUACCGCAUAAAAACUUUAAACACAAGUUUUAAGUUUGAAAGAUGCAAUUGCAUCACUCAAAGAUGAUCCCGCGUUGUAUUAGCUAGUUGGUGAGGUAAAGGCUCACCAAGGCGAUGAUACAUAGCCGACCUGAGAGGGUGAUCGGCCACAGUGGGACUGAGACACGGCCCAAACUCCUACGGGAGGCAGCAGUAGGGAAUCUUCGGCAAUGGACGAAAGUCUGACCGAGCAACGCCGCGGGAGUGAAGAAGGGUUUCGGAUCGUAAAACUCUGUUGGUAGAGAAGAACGUUGGUGAGAGUGGAAAGCUCAUCAAGUGACGGUAACUACCCAGAAAGGGACGGCUAACUACGUG